UACGUAGGGAGCAAGCGUUGUCCGGAAUUACUGGGCGUAAAGGGCGCGUAGGCGGGAAUUUAAGUCAGGUGUGAAAACUCUGGGCUCAACCUGGAGACUGCACUUGAAACUGGAUUUCUUGAGGGCAGGAGAGGAAAGUGGAAUUCCUAGUGUAGCGGUGAAAUGCGUAGAUAUUAGGAGGAACACCAGUGGCGAAGGCGACUUUCUGGACUGUACCUGACGCUGAGGCGCGAAAGCGUG
rnacentral:rRNA from 1 species